UACAGAGGUCUCAAGCGUUGUUCGGAUUCAUUGGGCGUAAAGGGUGCGUAGGCGGCGCGGUAAGUCGGGUGUGAAAUCUCGGAGCUUAACUCCGAAACUGCAUUCGAUACUGCCGUGCUUGAGGACUGGAGAGGAGACUGGAAUUUACGGUGUAGCGGUGAAAUGCGUAGAGUAAUCGUGAAGGAAGACCAGUGGCGAAGGCGGCUCACUGGCCCGAUACUGGACGCUGAGGCACGAAAGCGUGGGGAGCAAACAGG
rnacentral:rRNA from 1 species